GGGGGAGGAAAAAACUUAACAAGGAUUCCCCUAGUAACUGCGAGUGAAGCGGGAAAAGCUCAAAUUUAAAAUCUGGCAGUCUUUGGCUGUCCGAGUUGUAAUCUGGAGAAGCGUCUUCCGCGCUGGACCGUGUACAAGUCUCCUGGAACGGAGCGUCAUAGAGGGUGAGAAUCCCGUCUUUGACACGGACUACCAGUGCUCUGUGAUGCGCUCUCAAAGAGUCGAGUUGUUUGGGAAUGCAGCUCAAAAUGGGUGGUAAACUCCAUCUAAAGCUAAAUAUUGGCGAGAGACCGAUAGCGAACAAGUACCGUGAGGGAAAGAUGAAAAGCACUUUGGAAAGAGAGUUAAACAGUACGUGAAAUUGCUGAAAGGGAAACGCUUGAAGUCAGUCGCGUUUGCUAGGACUCAGCCUGGUUUCGGCCUGGUGCACUUCCUAGUAAACGGGCCAGCAUCACUUUUGGCUGCGGGAAAAAGGUUAGAGGAAUGUGGCACCCUCGGGUGUGUUAUAGCCUCUAGCUGUAUACCGUGGCUGGGAGUGAGGAACUCAGCACGCCUCUGGCGGGGCUUCGGCCACCUUCGUGCUUAGGAUGCUGGCGUAAUGGCUUUAAACGACCCGUCUUGAAACACGGACCAAGGAGUCUAACAUGCCUGCGAGUGUUUGGGUGGAAAACCCGAGCGCGUAAUGAAAGUGAUAGUUGGGACCUCUGUCGUGGAGGGCACCGACGCCCGGACCAGACCUUCUGUGACGGAUCCGCGGUAGAGACUUAUA
rnacentral:rRNA from 1 species